UACGAAGGGUGCAAACGUUGUUCGGAAUUAUUGGGCGUAAAGCGCACGUAGGCGGCUUUGCAAGUCGGAUGUGAAAUCCCUCGGCUUAACCAAGGAAGUGCAUCCGAAACUGCAGAGCUUGAGUACUUAAGAGGAUCGCGGAAUUCCCGGUGUAGAGGUGAAAUUCGUAGAUAUCGGGAGGAACACCAGUGGCGAAGGCGGCGAUCUGGGAAGAUACUGACGCUGAGGUGCGAAAGCGUGGGGAGCAAACAGG
rnacentral:rRNA from 1 species